GGAAGCCCUCCAUUGCCUUGGUCAUGUAAGUGAUCCUCGACAAGAAAUCGAAAUCAACCCAAUAACAUACCUAUAAGAAAACUAAAACCAAAUCAAAACCGAUGUUCCACAUUGGAUUUGGGCUCACUCAUUCUCACACCGAAACCGGUCCAAACGGACCGAUUGACGCCCCUACUACCAGAAAGCCAGAACCCUUCCGUCACUGUUCUUCACCAUAGUUGAUUGAGCUUUAAAGCUUCAUGGACAUGGUGAACUGAAGUUGUAGUUAGCGCUUUGCAGGUUAUUUACGACAAGAUGACCUGAGGAAGCCGGGUUUUGGGUUUGUGACUGUCUACCAUGGAGGAAGUGGAAGCAGCUCCUCAGCAGUUUCAAUGGCUAUGUCUGGGCAAGGUUGCAGUGGACGAUUUGGACCUAUGUUCUCUGUUUGUUUGAAGAAGACCGGUGACUAGUGCUACCUUUCAUAUGUAGUUGAGAGUAGGAACCAUGAACAGAGUAUGCGAGGUAACGGUAGGAAUAACCAGACCAACGGCCAUCCAGUCCAAGAUAAAAUCCCUGUGCAACCGUGGAAGACUAAAAGAAGCUCUGAACAUUCUUGACUCAAAACCCAUCCUACAAGACUUGUCUCUGUACUCACCAAUUUUACAGCUUUGUAUUAAUUUAAGAGCGGAGAAAGAAGGUCGAUUUGUCCAUGACCAUGUUUUGCGAAAUGGGCUCAAUUUGGAUUUGCAUUUCAACACCAAGCUGGUGAUCUUUUACUCAAAAAUUGGAGAUAUUAAAGCUGCUUAUAUUGUGUUUGAUAGAAUGUCUAGCCGAAGUGUUGUGUCUUGGACUGCCAUGAUAUCUGGGUUUGCUCAAAAAGGAUAUUCAAAGGAUGCUCUGGAGGUUUUUAAGGAAAUGCAUCGCUCCGGUGUUAAGGCUAAUCAAUUCACGUAUGGGAGUGUUUUGAAGGCAUGUACAAAUAUGUUGUCUUUAGAAGUGGGGAAACAGAUACAAGGGUGUAUUGUAAAGGGUAUAUUUCUUGAGGAUUUGUUUGUGCAGAGUGCUCUUGUUUGUUUGCAUUCAAAGUGUGGAAGGUUGGAGGAUGCUCAGUAUUUGUUUGAGAGGAUGUUGGAGAGGGAUACGGUAUCAUGGAAUGCAUUGAUUGGUGGGUACGCUGUUCAGGGACUUGCAGAUGUUUCCUUUGGAAUGUUCCAGUCAAUGCUAAGAGAUGGUAUGAUGCCUGAUCAGUUCACUUUUGGAAGUGUUUUGAGAGCCUGUGGUGGAGGUAAAGCUCUUAACAAGGUUAAACAGAUCCAUGGUCUUAUUAUCCAAUUGGGUUUUGGAUCUUAUGAAGUAGUAACUGGAUCAUUGAUUGAUGCUUAUGCAAAAUCUGGCCGUUUGAGAAGUGCAAAGCUUUUGUAUGAUUCUAUGCCAGAAAAAGAUCUGAUCUCGUGCACGGCAUUGAUCACUAGAUAUGCACAUGUAGGUGGGUAUAGAAAGGAGGCGUUUGGUCUCUUUGGUGAAAUAAUACAGAUGCAAAUGGGAAUGGAUAGUAUAAUACUAUGCUCUAUGCUUAAUAUAUGUGCUAAUGUAGCAUUAUUGAGCUUGGGAAGACAAAUUCAUGCGAUUUCAUUAAAAAAACAGCCCAAUUGCGACGUGGCCAUGGGUAAUGCUUUUAUAGAUAUGUAUGCUAAAUCUGGAGAAAUUGAUGAUGCUAACCGUGCUUUUGAUGAUAUAAAAGAGAAGAAUGUAAUUUCUUGGACUUCAUUAAUUGCCGGAUAUGGGAAGCACGGAUAUGGCGACAAGGCUAUUAAAAUUUUUGAAAAGAUGGAAGAUAACAAUUUAAAGCCAAAUGAUGUUACAUUCUUGACUCUUCUUUUCGCUUGUAGCCAUACUGGAAUGACCACUAAAGGAUGGGAAUGCUUUACUUCUAUGGUUAACACGUACAAAAUUAGUCCUAGAGUUGAGCAUUAUGCGUGUAUGGUCGAUCUUCUUGCACGAGGGGGCCAGUUGGAAGAAGCCUAUGAAUUAGUAUCGAAGAUGAGUAUCAAACCUAAUACCUCAAUUUGGGGUUCUAUUCUUGGAGCAUGCAGAAUCUAUGGAAAUACGUCUCUUGGUGAAGUAGCAGCCAGGAAUCUUUUUGAUUUAGAUCCCAGGAAUGCAGUUAACUAUGUUGCUCUAGCGGGCAUAUAUGCUGCAGCUGGUUUGUGGGAAAAUGCUUCGGAGAUGAGGAAACUGAUGAAAGAUAGACGUAUAGAAAAAGAUCCAGCCUGGAGUUCUGUUCAAUGCAUGAAGGAGAAAUUUCAACUUCUUGCGGUGAGUUAAGGAACUUUAAUGUAUGAAUUAUAAGUUGAUGGCUGGUUCCUUUUGCCCUGUUUACGACCAUCAAGAAUGGACAGUUCUGGUAUUGUUAUUGGUAUCUACAUUCCUAUCAUGAGGUCGCUGAUAUGAUAUGGAUCUUACCGUGGAGCUAGAAGAGGAAGGCUUGUUUCAUUUGCCCUUGCUGGAGGACCAUCAACACGAGUCAUUAGGAGUCUUCAGCACUUGAUUGACAUUGUAAUGUUCCAUUGAGCUCUCUUGUAUCAACCUGUUGGAGUUGCCAGUUGUUAGAUCAACCCUCUCCAUCUAACUGCCAGUACAUUGCCUGAAUUUGGUAGGUUGAGGUUGAAUGCUUUCAGACCUAAUCUGCAUGGGCCUACACCUUUGGAAGAAUCUGCAUUGUCGCUACUUUCAUCCAGGUUUGUAAUACGUCUGGCCAUUUGCAGAGGUAAUCGAGAUUUUCCAGAGUAGUGCAAAGAGGAGUGGAUUUUAGGCUUCAGAUAGAAUUCUACUGCGAUGCCAGUGAAUGGCCUAUUGUUUUAUAUUUCCAUUUUGUGGUCAGGCAUUGGCUUAAUUUACAUUGACAAUGAUUUGGAGAUCGGUGAGCUGAUCGUGGGAUUCAACAAAGAGCUAGUGUUUAAUCCUGUUGUGGAGUGCAACGACACUGAAACUAGGAGCAGUAAGGCAUUAAAACCACCAUAACUGAAUUACCUUCCAUGUGUUGUGAAAUAUUUCUUUUCUGGGAGUGCUUUGAUGGUUCUAAUUUGAAGGCCAGGAUUUUUUUUUUUUUUUUGCCCUUGUUUGUGCCAAGUGGGGAAAUUAAAGAAAAUCUGGGUAUUUUGUCUUCUAAAAGGAAUUUAUUUAUUUUUGGUAAUUCUAAUAGGAAAUGUCAGUGUCAUUUGCAGUCUGAAGGCCACUCUCAUCAUUCACAUUUAUUAUCUGUAGUCAAAUUUCAUCUGUAAAUCAUCAUGGAAGAUCUUAUCUUAUAUCUUCAACUAUAAUCAUAAAUAGAUGCAUCUGUCCAAAUGGGCAUUUGAUAUCUGUUUGAAUACUUUUUAUUUGGACUUAAAUCCUUUUUUGUGCUGUUACGAGAGUUGUCCCUUUGGAGAACACUUGUUUUACUUGGAGAGCACUCCAAAUAGCAAAUUGCACCAUUAGGAUUAAUGGCUCUAGACCUGCCAAUUCAGGCUUGUCAAUCCAGGACCGGGCUCAGCUUUUUCCCAUUGGGAUUUUGAGAGUUCUAGCUCAGACUCACCUUACUUAAGUCCUCAGCUCUUAACUCAAAUCCCACACAUCAAAAUCCUUAGGAAACAAACUUUUACUAUCAUGUAGUAUUAAAAAAAGUUUAGUUCCUCAUAAACUCAAAGAAGUUCAAUCUUUGUUUCCUUUCAAGCAUGAAUUUCUACAUCACUUUCCAAGUGGCAGAAAUCUGGGUUCUAGUGUAGAGAUACCCUCUGUGCCUGCUGGUGUGAGAAACGAUUCAUUAGUUUUUCUUGUUGUCUUGGAACCUGCAAAUUGUCGAUCUUGAUAUGGCUGUAGGUCAGUGAUACGUACCCAUUACCUAUCCUAACCAAGAGAAAUUAAAGAGGAGAGAAUGUGGAUAGUA